rnacentral:rRNA from 1 species
UACGAAGGGGGCUAGCGUUGCUCGGAAUUACUGGGCGUAAAGGGCGCGUAGGCGGAUAGUUUAGUCAGAGGUGAAAGCCCAGGGCUCAACCUUGGAAUUGCCUUUGAUACUGGCUAUCUUGAGUUCGGGAGAGGUGAGUGGAAUGCCGAGUGUAGAGGUGAAAUUCGUAGAUAUUCGGCGGAACACCAGUGGCGAAGGCGGCGACCUGGUCCGAGACUGACGCUGAGGCGCGAAAGCGUGGGGAGCGAACAGG